rnacentral:rRNA from 1 species
AAAUUGAAGAGUUUGAUCAUGGCUCAGAUUGAACGCUGGCGGCAGGCCUAACACAUGCAAGUCGAGCGGAAACGACACUAACAAUCCUUCGGGUGCGUUAAUGGGCGUCGAGCGGCGGACGGGUGAGUAAUGCCUAGGAAAUUGCCUUGAUGUGGGGGAUAACCAUUGGAAACGAUGGCUAAUACCGCAUAAUGCCUACGGGCCAAAGAGGGGGACCUUCGGGCCUCUCGCGUCAAGAUAUGCCUAGGUGGGAUUAGCUAGUUGGUGAGGUAAUGGCUC